GACGAACGCUGGCGGCGUGCUUAACACAUGCAAGUCGAACGGAAAGGCCCUUCGGGGUACUCGAGUGGCGAACGGGUGAGUAACACGUGGGUGAUCUGCCCUGCACUUUGGGAUAAGCCUGGGAAACUGGGUCUAAUACCGAAUAUGAUCAUCGGCUUCAUGUUCGGUGGUGGAAAGCUUUUGCGGUGUGGGAUGGGCCCGCGGCCUAUCAGCUUGUUGGUGGGGUAAUGGCCUACCAAGGCGACGACGGGUAGCCGGCCUGAGAGGGUGACCGGCCACACUGGGACUGAGAUACGGCCCAGACUCCUACGGGAGGCAGCAGUGGGGAAUAUUGCACAAUGGGCGCAAGCCUGAUGCAGCGACGCCGCGUGAGGGAUGACGGCCUUCGGGUUGUAAACCUCUUUCAGCACAGACGAAGCGCAAGUGACGGUAUGUGCAGAAGAAGGACCGGCCAACUACGUG
rnacentral:rRNA from 1 species